UACGAAGGGGGCUAGCGUUGCUCGGAAUCACUGGGCGUAAAGCGCACGUAGGCGGAUUGCUAAGUCAGGGGUGAAAUCCUGGAGCUCAACUCCAGAACUGCCUUUGAUACUGGCGAUCUUGAGUCCGGGAGAGGUGAGUGGAACUGCGAGUGUAGAGGUGAAAUUCGUAGAUAUCGGGAAGAACACCCGUGGCGAAGGCGGCUCUCUGGGACGGUACCGACGCUGAGACGCGAAAGCGUGGGGAGCGAACAGG
rnacentral:rRNA from 1 species